GAUGAACGCUGGCGGCGUGCCUAAUACAUGCAAGUCGAGCGAACAGAUGAGGAGCUUGCUCCUCUGACGUUAGCGGCGGACGGGUGAGUAACACGUGGAUAACCUACCUAUAAGACUGGGAUAACUUCGGGAAACCGGAGCUAAUACCGGAUAAUAUAUUGAACCGCAUGGUUCAAUAGUGAAAGACGGUUUUGCUGUCACUUAUAGAUGGGUCCGCGCCGCAUUAGCUAGUUGGUAAGGUAACGGCUUACCAAGGCAACGAUGCGUAGCCGACCUGAGAGGGUGAUCGGCCACACUGGAACUGAGACACGGUCCAGACUCCUACGGGAGGCAGCAGUAGGGAAUCUUCCGCAAUGGGCGAAAGCCUGACGGAGCAACGCCGCGUGAGUGAUGAAGGUCUUCGGAUCGUAAAACUCUGUUAUUAGGGAAGAACAAAUGUGUAGGUAACUAUGCACGUCUUGACGGUACCUAAUCAGAAAGCCACGGCUAACUACGUG
rnacentral:rRNA from 1 species